UACGUAGGGUGCGAGCGUUAAUCGGAAUUACUGGGCGUAAAGCGUGCGCAGGCGGUUCGUUAAGUUCGAUGUGAAAGCCCCGGGCUCAACCUGGGAACUGCAUUGGAAACUGGCGAGCUUGAGUAUGGCAGAGGGGGGUGGAAUUCCGCGUGUAGCAGUGAAAUGCGUAGAGAUGCGGAGGAACACCGAUGGCGAAGGCAGCCCCCUGGGCCAAUACUGACGCUCAGGCACGAAAGCGUGGGGAGCAAACGGG
rnacentral:rRNA from 1 species